UACGACCAUAUCACAUUGAAACGACAGUUCUCAUCAGAUCAUCUAAGUUAAGCAGCAUUGAGCCUGAUCAAUGCCUAGAUGGGUGACCACUUGGGAAUACCACUUGCUGUCA